CCUCCUUAUUUAUUUUUCCAGAUAAAUUCUAAAGUGCUCAUUUUCUUGGCUGUUAGCAAACCUUUAGUUGAAUAAAGUUCAGCAUGCUUUGGUGUUUCAGUUAUGAACUGUUAAGAUUUUUUCAAGUACUUAAAUAUUAAUUAUCUUAUUGUGAAGUGGGUGAAGACAGUUUAUACAGAAGUUCCAUUUCCUCUCCUCACAUUCUCUCUAUUUUUCCCCAAUAACAUAAAAAACAUACAGGAAUGAAAUACAAUAGACCGUAGAGAACAAAAUAUAAACACUAGGGGAAUAAUGGAACAUGUAAAUUAGACCUGGUCAUUGUAGAAUGUGGAUGUUCUCCAGACUUGAAUGACUCCUAAAUCUAUCUGUAAAACUCAUUGUUUUGAUGCAGACAUGGGAAGGUGUUGCUUUCACUGACACAAGUAAAUAAAGACUUCCUGGAUGUUGUUUUUCUGAGCUAUAAUAAGAUAUUACUCAGCUAGAGUCCUCCAGCUCUGCUGCUCUGAGGCUUGAUUACCAACCCAUGGAGCCCUGCAGGUGGCGUCAGUAUUCACUUCCACAGAGUAAUGCUGAUUGGAACCUGAGGCUGAUCUCUGUAAGCACAGACUUUUUACAUAGCAGGACUCUGUUGGCAGGUUUAUUAUUUCUGUUGUUAGUCUUUGUAUUUCACUUUUUGCUCUUUUAAAGUUUGACAGCAUUAAGAAAUAUCUUUCAUUUAGAAUACCAUGUCUCAUGGGAGCUUCAUUAAAAUGCCAGAUGUGUUGGAUUGUCAGUACAGCAGCAUUAGGGGUUUCCAGCUUCAAACACUGACAAUGUAUUGUGCUGUAUUUUUAAGCUUAUGCUUAAAAAUACAGUUGUAUUUAUUUCUGUUUUGGCUUGUAUGUCUGUGCAGUCAAAUGUUGACGUUGAGUUUUUGCAGAUUGCAGAACUUGUGGCCACUGAAUUCUUUGAACAGGGGGACAAAGAGCGUCGGGAACUGAACAUCGAGCCCAUUGAUCUUAUGAAUCGUGAGAAAAGAGAUAAGAUACCCAGCAUGCAGGUUUCCUUCAUUGAUGCCAUUUGUGUUCAGCUAUAUGAGACCUUGGCUGGCUUAUCAGAGCACUGCUGCCCUCUGCUGGAAGGGUGUCAGAAAAACCGGCAGCAUUGGAAGCAUCUGGCUGAGGAUGGUGAGAAAGGCCUGGUCAAUGGCCUGGUGUGAUGCAACUACAGUUUAGCUUCUGGAAAAACUGCUAAUUUCAGGACUGCUUCCUGUGUCUCCCAGACUCACUAAGCAUUCAUAAGAUUAGUAUGAUACUACAAACAUGUGGACUAUGGGCCUUUAACCAUUUCUGAAAAGGGAAAGCCACCACAAGGUCUCAAAUGUCAUGUGGUUCUCACCAAGCAGUUCUUCCCACAUCUGUCACUGCAGUCAUUCUAUCCUAUUCUGGUGUGUUCCAUUUAUCUUGGAAGUCGGAGCUAAGAUAUGAGAACAUAGGCGUAACUUCCUGAAGGCCUGGUCCCCACCAAUAUUUCCUACACAUUCUUUCUUUAUGUACCUGCAUGUAUUUGUGGACAUUAACUCAGCAGCAGCUGUGCGCUGUGUACAAAUAUUAACAGCCAGUGGACGACUGCUUUUUAAAAUUUCUUUGUAGGACGUACAGUAAAUGGCGAGUCCGCUCAGUGAGCUAGUUGAUAGGACAUCACAAGACUUGCAGUGCGCCACAUGCGCUAUUGGUUUGCGUUGAGCCCAGAAUAUUGGUGGUCGGGGAAAUGACACAGUCAAGCAAAGAAUCUGAAAAAAGGACAGUGUUUUGCUAUUAAUUGAAAAUUUUACAACAGCAAGAUAAAGUCCAAGGGAAUCACUUUUCACAUGGCAGUAAUACAAAAGAAAGAGGGGAGUAGGUUAACUAUGCUGUAGCUUAACUUUGAUAAACUUUACAUACCCAAGCUGCAUAGUUCAGUGUGUUUUAGUUCAGUUAGCACAAAAAUAAGGCGACCCACACAUCUACUUUGUGACAGAUUAUCAGUAGAGCAGGUGUUUAAAUUUGCUAAUCAACCACAAGUGGUCAGGCAAUUACUUUUUAAUGAUUGCACAGAAAUCUGUAACAGACUGAAUGUUCUCUUUUGGUAUUUCUUGAUGUGGGAAUUUUUUUAGUCUGUCUUUUUAUGUUAAUUCCUAAUACACUUGUACUUAAUCUUUGAGCUCCUGGAGCUGUUGUUUGACAGUUGCCUUGGCAACGGCUCUAUGUGUGACGUUAAGCUGACACAGAAUGAAAAAAAAACAAAAUUCAAUUGGUUUCAAGUUGUUCUCCUGGAUUUCUACAUCCCUGGACUAAUUGCAUCAUUUGUUUGUAGAACGUGGCCAUAUUCACAGCAAUCAUAAAAUAGGAUGAAAUAUUAUAUAAAGCAUAGGAGUCAAAGUUUAACCAUUUCUCCUACAGCAGCAAUUAGGUAAAAUUAAAUGAUUGGCUUUAAAAGAGAAAUUUACUUAAUCCUCUACUGCAUCUUGACAGAACUGACAGAAACAAAGUUGUUUAUAUAUCUAUAUCCAGAGAGAAUACAUAGUUUACAUAU